rnacentral:rRNA from 1 species
GCUCAGAACUAACGCUNGUGGUGUGUCUUAGUCAUGCAAGUCGAACGAGAAAGUCACCUUCGGGUGACGAGUACAGUGGCGAACGGGUGAGUAACACGUGGGCAAUCUGCCCCUGGGUUGGGGAUAACACUUCUAACGAGGUGCUAAUACCGAAUGACAAGACGAGUUUUAUGGCUCGUUUUUAAAGGUGGCCUCUACUUGUAAGCUGCCGCCUGGGGAUGGGCCCGCGUCGUAUUAGCUUGUUGGUGGGGUAAUGGCCUACCAAGGCAACGAUGCGUAGCCGGCCUGAGAGGGUGAACGGCCACACUGGCACUGAGACAAGGGCCAGUCUCCUACGGGAGCCAGCAGUCUAGAAAUUUGCACAAUCGUCGAAAGGCGGAUGCAGCGACACCACGUGGAGGAUGAAGCCCUUCGGGGUGUAAACUCCUGUCAGGAGGGAAGAAGGUGCGGUUGUUAAUACCAGCCGUUACUUGACGGUACCUCCAGAGGAAGCUCCGGCUAACUACGUGCCAGCAGCCGCGGUAAUACGUAGGGAGCGAGCGUUGUUCGGAUUUACUGGGCGUAAAGAGCACGUAGGCGGGUAUACAAGUCGGUUGUGAAAUCCUCUGGCUCAACCAGAGAAUUGCAGCCGAAACUGUAUACCUUGAGUCCAGCAGAGGGAAUCGGAAUCCCAGGUGUAGCGGUGAAAUGCGUAGAUAUCUGGGAGAACACCAGUGGCGAAGGCGGAUUCCUGGGCUGGUACUGACGCUGAGGUGCGAAAGCUAAGGGAGCGAACAGGAUUAGAUACCCUGGUAGUCUUAGCCGUAAACGAUGGGUACUAGGUGUUGGGGGACAUUGACCCCCUCAGUGCCGGAGCUAACGCAUUAAGUACCCCGCCUGGGGAGUACGGNCGCAAGGCUGAAACUC